GACGAACGCUGGCGGCGUGCCUAAUACAUGCAAGUCGAACGCAGUGGGGACGGGUGAGGAACACGUGGGUAACCUCCCAUCAGAGGGGAUAACACUUGGAAACAGGUGCUAAACCGCUACUGAUGGAUGGACCAGCGGUGCAGUAGCGAGUUGGUGAGGUAACGGCUCACCAAGGCCACGAUGCAUAGCCGACCUGAGAGGGUGAUCGGCCACACUGGGACUGAGACACGGCCCAGACUCCUACGGGAGGCAGCAGUAGGGAAUCUUCGGCAAUGGACGAAAGUCUGACCGAGCAACGCCGCGUGAGUGAAGAAGGUUUUCGUAUCGUAAAACUCUGUUGUUAGCGAAGCGCUAUCUAAUCAGAAAGCCACGGCUAACUACGUGCCAGCAGCCGCGGUAAUAC
rnacentral:rRNA from 1 species